rnacentral:rRNA from 1 species
GAGAUGGAUUUGUGCCUUCGGGAACUGUGAGACAGGUGCUGCAUGGCUGUCGUCAGCUCGUGUUGUGAAAUGUUGGGUUAAGUCCCGCAACGAGCGCAACCCUUAUCCUUUGUUGCCAGCGGUUAGGCCGGGAACUCAAAGGAGACUGCCAGUGAUAAACUGGAGGAAGGUGGGGAUGACGUCAAGUCAUCAUGGCCCUUACGACCAGGGCUACACACGUGCUACAAUGGCGCAUACAAAGAGAAGCGA